UGAACGCUAGCUACAGGCUUAACACAUGCAAGUCGAGGGGCAGCGAGAGUGUAGCAAUACACUGUCGGCGACCGGCGCGACGGGUGAGUAACGCGUAUCCAACCUGGCCCAUAGUAGGGGAUAGCCCGGCGAAAGUCGGAUUAAUACCCUAUGUUCUUUACAGCGGACAUCUGACGUAAAGCAAAGAUUGAUCGCUAUGGGAUGGGGAUGCGUCCGAUUAGCUUGCCGGCGGGGUAACGGCCCACCGGGGCUACGAUCGGUAGGGUUCUGAGAGGAAGGUCCCCCACAUUGGUACUGAGACACGGACCAAACUCCUACGGGAGGCAGCAGUGAGGAAUAUUGGUCAAUGGGCGUGAGCCUGAACCAGCCAAGUAGCGUGCAGGAAGACGGCCCUACGGGUUGUAAACUGCUUUUGCCGGGGAAUAAAGUGCGCCACGCGUGGCGUUUUGUAUGUACCCGGAGAAUAAGGACCGGCUAAUUCCGUGCCAGCAGCUGC
rnacentral:rRNA from 1 species